CCUACGGGAGGCAGCAGUGGGGAAUAUUGGGCAAUGGGCGCAAGCCUGACCCAGCAACGCCGCGUGAAGGAAGAAGGCUUUCGGGUUGGAAAAUUCUUUUCGCAGGGACGAAGAAAGUGACGGUACCUGAGGAAUAAGCCACGGCUAACUACGUGCCAGCAGCCGCGGGAAUACGAAGGUGGCAAGCGUUAACCGGAUUGAUUGGGUGUAAAGGGCGUGGAGGCGGGAGCCGAAGGCAGAUGGGAAAACUCAGGGCUCAACCCUGGGCCCGCCUUUGAAACUGUGUUUCGUGAGUGCUGGGGAGGCAAUCGGAAUUCCGUGUGUAGCGGUGAAAUGCAUAGAUAUACCGAGGAACACCAGUGGCGAAGGCAGAUUGCUGGACCGUAACUGACGCUGAGGCGCGAAAGCGUGGGGAGCGAACAGGAUUAGAUACCCUAGUAGUC
rnacentral:rRNA from 1 species